rnacentral:lncRNA from 1 species
CCACGGGUAAUGAAUGAGAAACACCCCAAAGACCCUAUAAAAGGGGCCCUUGGGGGGUCCUCAUUCAUUAACAAUUCCCCUCCAACACACUUGACACACACUCCAACCAGAACAAACUAAGGAGCCCGAGUCGUCGACUCCCACACCUAAGUCGCCGACUCCCCUCCUCUCUGCAGAUACAUUGACGUAGAGCGUGCGUCGUGGACUCCAAAGCCUCUGGCCCUCCUCGCAAAAACGUGUGGGCAAGUGUGGAGUGAAAGCUCUUGAGUUUG